CUGGCAGAGAAAUUGCCUUAAGGCACAGGGCAACAUCCUACAUUUUGGAUGAGGUUCAUUUGGACAAGUGGAUUUCCCAUCAUGGAGACAUGUAGGAAAAUACUCCUGGAGAAUUAAAAUUCAAGAGGCUACUGCUUAUGACACACUCCCAACAACUAGGUCCAUUAGUCCCUAAAAUAACAAUUUUCUUGAAGGCACACUCUCCUUAAUUCCCUCCCAAAGCCUUUAUGGGCGUUUUGGUACCAUUGAGAGCACAGGUGAGAUAUUGAGAUAAAGAUCACUAGUUAUGCCACCCACUGGUGCUCUGCACAUCUAAGGGAUGCAGUCACAAUCCCACAUUGUGCCCAUGUUUCCAUGCCCAUUCCUCACUUCCCAACCUGCUGCCCGCCAGAGUCCCCACUUGGGACUUGGGAAUGUGUCCUAUGGGUCUGGAAGACACCUCCAGGAUUCCAAUAACUUCAUCACCACCUCCAACAUUCCUCCCAGCUAUAAAGGUAGCCAACCUCACCACAGUCCACCUAAGUCUUCCCAGCCCCUUUCAGGAUAGCAAAUGCCCAUGGAGAUGGUGUCACCUUUGAAAAGGAUGACGACCUCCAGGUCCCUCCCACUUCCAGUGCUGGAAGCCAGCUGGUGCCUCCUCAUAAUUCUACAAGUCUGACCUAAGGACUCACCUGCUUACAAUCAGCAAGAAAGAAUGAAUACUACCCAAAGAAGAAAGACACCACCAGCCUUGGCAUAGCUCUAGGAACACUAGGAAGGCAGUAGAGCGCAUGUGCAGUAACUGACACACAGCAGGGAGCAUGCGCACUGAGUCAGGCUCCCUGAGUGGGGGGCUGGGCUUUUUCCAGCCUCAGCAGAGACAUUCUGUCUUGCAGAAUGUGACUCUGACAACCACCACCCAACACCUUUUUUUAAAAAAAUUUUGUUUCCCUUGCUGGAUCUUACUUUUUCUACUUUGAGAUUAGAAAGUGCUAGCUUAUCUUUAGGACAAGAUGUAUUUCAGAAAGGCCCACUUUAAAAGGAAUACUUAAUAAGGAACUUAAUAUGUAUUUCUUUCUUUCUUUCUUUUCAGGUCAGACUUGGAACCUGAGUGGUCCUUAUCAUCAAGUCUUCUUCUUUUUUUCUUUCAUUCUUUUUCUUUUCUUUUUCUUUUUAUUGAGUUUUAAAACAUAAAUGACAGCAGAAUUCAUUACAAUUCUUAUUACACAUAUACAGCGCAAUUUUUCAUAUCUCUAGUUGUAUAUAAAGUAUGUUGACACCAAUUUGUGUCUUCAUACAUGUACUUUGGAUAAUGAUGACCAUCACAUUCUACCAUCCUUGCUAAUCCCCUGCUCCCUCCCUUCCCCUCCCAACCCUCUGCCCUAUCUAAAGUUUGUCUAUUCCUCCCAUGACCCCGCUCCCUACCCCACUAUGAAUUAGCCUCCUUCUAUCAGAGAAAACAUUUGGCAUUUGUUUUUUGGGGAUUUGCUUUAAUACGCAUUUUUUAUUUUAUUUUUCAUUAUUUUUAGUUGUAGAUGGACACAAUAUUUUAUUUAUUUUUAUGUGGUGCUGAGGAUCAAACCCAGUGCCUCACAUGUGCUAGGCAAGUGCUCUACCACUUAGCUGGGACUCCAGCCCUCUUUUUCUUGCUUUCUUUCUUUUUUUUAAUUGACCCUGCUAGAGAUUGAACAUGGGGGCACUCUACCACUGAAAUAUCCUCAUCACUUUUUAUAUUUCCUUUUGUCACAGGGGUUCGUGGAAGUUGCAAAGCUGGCCUGGAAAAGUGAAGUUUUCUGGACUUAGCCUCCUUUGUCACUAAGUUUGUAGACAUGUGCUGUAGUGCCUGGCCUUCAUAUGUAUCUUUGUAUGUAUUUUGAACAGAAAGUUCUUUCCUUGCUGUUGCUGCUGCUUUGUCUUUUCCUUCUUUUCUUGUGUGUGUGUGUGUGUGUGUGUGUGGGAGGGGGUUCAUCAUUUCAAUGUCUUUUUCCCACACUGAGAUAAUAAAUGCAUUCAGAUUUGUUGUCUUUGAGGAGAGUAAAAUGUGUACAUUUAAAUUUCUGACUAUAUCUGUCAUCAUUCAGCCAGGAUAUUCAGAAAUAUACAUAGAUAUUGGUCUUAGCAUCUAGGUUAAGGCUACUGUCACAUGGUAUACAGCAGUAAUGGCUACCUCAUCAUAUACAGAUGAGCAUCAUCCUCCAAUAUUAGCCCAAUGACUUGUAGCAUAUGCCAAAGCUGAAGUUUUCACUCAGUGCUAUAAGGGAGCAGAGUACCUCAGCAGAGGAAGUGGCACCAAAGAGAUGGAAAGGCUUAAAGGAUAUUCAUUUGGAUUUUGAAGUCUAGCAUAGGAGGGGAUCUUUUAAGGGUUUGGGAUUGGGAAGGAAUUGUGAUGUAAUGAUUCAAGGUUGUUGGACACAGGGAAGCUCAGAGUUUUUAAUUUAUUUGUAAUUGACCCUUAUUAUUUGUGUGUUUAUGGGAUAUAACAUGAUAUUUCAGUAUGUAUGUAUAUCAUGUGUAAUAAUCAAAUCAGGGUAAAUAGCAUUUCCUUCACCGCAAUGAUUUAUCCAUUCUUUGUAUGGGAAAGUUUCAAAAUCUAUCUGCUAAUAAUUCUGAAAUACACAGCCAAUUGUUAACUAUACUCACCCUAGUCUGUUAUAGUACUCUGGAAUGUAUCCCUUCUAUCUAACUGUAUUUUGGUGGCCAAUAUCCACCUUCUGUCUGUCACCUUCCCUUCUUCUCCUCUCAGCCUCUGCUGACCUCUGUUCUCCUCUCCACUUCUAUGAGGUCAACUUUCUAAGCAUCCACAUGUUGAAGAGGACAUGUAGCACAAGUGUUUCUGUAAUGAAGAUGCAGCUUUUGAAACACAAGUUUGAAAGAAUGUUGGGGUGAAAAAAUGUCACUUGACACUUUUGUUUGUGGAGUGAUGGGCCUUUCCUGCAGCUGGUGAAAUGAACAAUGAAGUUUUGGGGAACUUUACUUUCCUGGGUAAGAGAUUCCUGCAUUAGUAUAGUUAUGUUAAUGUAACCAGUGGCAUAUAAACUCUGGUUUAUGUGAACAGUGGGCUGUGUGGAUACUUUCAGUUCUCAUUACUUCCUUUUAUAUACCUCUCAGUUUAGUGUGGGAAAUGAGUCACUGCUCCCACUGUCAGGGUACAGUAUAUCUGCCUCCAAUAAACUAUUGUCUUAUGUCCCACCUCACCUCUAUCAGCAGAAUUGACAUGAGGUUUAAGAGCUCCCUCUCAUCGUGCUUCAUUGCAUGAUCAAAGAAGCUAACUUUCCCAAAGUGUAAACAGCAAGAUCCAUUUUUUUUUUUUCAAAAUGAUUGCCUGACCAUCCCGAGGAGCAUGCACUUAGAUCCAAGAUUGCUCUAGAAUAUCCCAAUAGGGAAAGCCCCUGUUUGAGGCACCAUACAUGUUAUUUGCAUCUCAUACAUCUAAUGUAAACCAGGAACAAGCUUUCUGGGACAUGCAGAAUAAACAUUAUAGGCAAGACACAGGAAUCUGUCAAUCACUCUUUGUUUAACAGAAAAGAAAAAAGCCCACCAAAGGCAAAUAACUUAGAAGCACAUAUAAGCUAAGUUCCCCUUCUUUUUUUCUAUUUUUUUAUUAUUAGUUGUUCAAAACAUUACAAAGCUCUUGACAUAUUUCAUACAUUUGAUUCAAGUGGGUUAUGAACUCCCAUUUUUAUCCCAUAUACAGAUUGCAGAAUCACAUCGGUUACACAUCCACGUUACAACAGACACUAGUAUGGCAGUAUGUAAGUUCCCCUUCUGAGUGGAUGGGCAAGAUUCCUUUGUCACUGCUCCCACUGUCAGGGUACAGCAUAUCUCCCUCCAAUAAACUCUUAACUACUUUCUGUUAUCUUGAUGAAUUCUUCUCAUGCUUUCCAUCUCAUCCCUUUCCUGCACUGGGCAUCUUCUGAACGUCCCAUGACAGAAAAUAGUUCAUGAAAGGUAAAGAGAAGAAGGGGACCCUGAUUAGCAGAAAGCUUUCUGUUAGUAAGUUAGGAUACAGUGUUGCAGUGGCUUCUAUACCUUCCAUGUGACUGGGCUUCUCUUAAGAAAUAUACUGAGCAGAAAGAAGAAAUUUCUCAGUCUUUGUCUUUCCUUAAUCAGUACCAUGAAUAGGCAUAUGGUUCUGUAAAAUUUUAAAAAUUAUACACACACACACACACACACAUAUACCCCACACACAAUGAGAGCAGUCAUUAUCUCAUUAUCUCAUGACAAUAUUUAGCUUAUCUUUUAUCUUGUUUGGUCAUUCUCAGCAAGGUAUUAUCAUUACCAAUGUUUAUUCCUUUUUUUUCCAUUCUUCAUUCUAGUUUUUAAUGUAGUACACUGCAAAGCACUCAACCAAUGGGAGAUGCUAAGUCCCAGAUUUAGACUUUCAACAAGCAGCUACUUAGCAAAUAGUCAAAUAUUUGCUAUCAGAUAGCUGGAGGUUGUGCGUCCUGAGGAUUUGUGUUUGAUGAGCUGUGAAUGGCUUUAUGGCAGCUUAUAAGGGCAGGCUUCAACUGAUGCCCAUCUCUAGCUUCCUGUCUCCAUUAUUGUGAGAGAUUAUCCCUGAACAACCAGAAGUGUUCGAAGGACUGUAAUUAGAUUUGGAUGUGAAAAGUUGUGAAACAGUUCUGGUGAAACAUUGGAAACAGCAAAAUGUAUGGAAUACCUUGUAGAGACAAGAAUUUCCUGAUGCAUGAUCCUAAGGACUCUCUCAAGGAUGUUAAGUCAGGAUUGUGGGCAGGAAUCCAUGGCAGCACCUCUACCGGAGGUAUGCCUCAAUUCCUCACAUGACCAAUAUUCCCCAUCUUCUAGGCAAGGAUUCUAUACACAAAUUUAGCUUAACAUAGGACCCAGGGAUGCAGGAAGGUCAGAAAAUGUCUACAGAUUCUGGGUCACUGUCAAAAGAGUGCUGUAAUCCACACCACCUAAUCUCAUACUGGUGUCUGAUAUUUUAUUCAUCUAUUCCCUACCAUGUUAAAUACAAUUCUCAUGAAUUAGGAGCACACUAAGAUGACGGAGGUACCCUCAGUACAGCAGAGUAAUGCAUGACAUUAACGUACACUUCAGCCCAAGCACAGCCUCCAUAUGAUGCUGAGAACACAAGAAACCACCUGUCAGCCCUUUUGCCUGUCAGUUCCUGUCUCUCCAUGUGAUGCUUACCAUGUUCAAGACAGACACUACUAUCUGCAGAUAAAUCUUACAGGAAGUAUUGGGGAUUAUGUUUUGUGGCAACCCUGCAGGACCCAUAUCAAGGAUAGCCUUUUAGUGUGAAAACACUUGAGUGCAAAGGAGGACUACAAAAUUGGGUUUUCAUGUGUAUGUAAGAAUAAUUUUAUAGCCCAAUAUAUUCACCAUUGAGGGUGUCCAUGAUCCAUUAUACUGUUUUCCAAUGUGUAGAUUCUAAUCAAUUUUGUAAAUCUUAAAACAGAAUAUAUUAUGAAGUAGAAUAUAUAUGGAAAUCUUUUACAUUCUUCUUAUGUUGACCAAUAUAAAUAAAAAUAUAUGCAUCAUAAAAGAACAUUUAUCUGUAAAGUUACAAGUGAAUAUUUACCCAAAUGAAACACAUCAUUUAUAUUUAAAGAGUUUUUUCAUGUAGCUUCUGAAGAAAUUUCAAAACGCAGAGUCUUAGAAAAUAAAAACAUCUCAUCAAGGGGUAAUGUAUAAAAUAGCCAAUUUCACUAUACCAUUUGACUGAUAUCCAGGGAAUAUCAAAAGUUUCCUAAAAAGAUCAAAUGUUUGUUCAUUUGAUAGAGAAAAUUUUAUCUCAAUGUCUCAAUGCUUGCUUUUUCAUUUUUAAAUUAGU
rnacentral:lncRNA from 1 species